UCGCGAAUCUUACCCGUACGGUUGCCUCGGCGCUGGCGGUCCGGAAAGGCCCUCGGGUCCUCCCGGAUCCUCGGGUCUCCCGCUCGCGGGAGGCUGCCCGCCGGAGUGCCGAAACUAAACUCUUGAUAUUUUAUGUCUCUCUGAGUAAACUUUUAAAUAAGUCAAAACUUUCAACAACGGAUCUCUUGGUUCUGGCAUCGAUGAAGAACGCAGCGAAAUGCGAUAAGUAAUGUGAAUUGCAGAAUUCAGUGAAUCAUCGAAUCUUUGAACGCACAUUGCGCUCGCCAGUAUUCUGGCGAGCAUGCCUGUUCGAGCGUCAUUUCAACCAUCAAGCUCUGCUUGCGUUGGGGAUCCGCGGCUGCCCGCGGUCCCUCAAAAUCAGUGGCGGGCUCGCUAGUCACACCGAGCGUAGUAACUCUACAUCGCUAUGGUCGUGCGGCGGGUUCUUGCCGUAAAACCCCCCAUUUCUAAGGUUGACCUCGGAUCAGGUAGGAAUACCCGCUGAACUUAAGCAU
rnacentral:misc_RNA from 1 species